UUCAGAUCACCCAGAGCUCACAAACAAGGGAGCAGAGUCAGGAAGUGAUGCCAUAGGAAGGUCAUGGACCAACUUCUGCACUUUAUGACAGCAGUUGCAGUGCUAAGAGAUUCCAGCAACUGAUUUCCACAGCCACAAGAUGAGAAGUUCCUUGGAAGAUCUCUACUGGGAACACUGCUCUAACCUUCCUUCCCCUUCUCUUUCUAAUGAUCUCAAGCCAUCUAUUUAUUCUCAGCUCACAGAUACAACAAUGAAUAGUUUGCAUAUCAGAAGUGACCAAAUGUGGCAAGAGGAAACCAAAUUAAGUCUAAAUUUGUUUUGAUAUCAAUGAUACACCUUUUGCAGUGAACUCAUGCUACUGCUUUGCUGAUUAAAUAUUUGAAUGGAGAGGAACCAAUUGGCAAGUGUCAUGUGUUAUUUGCAAGUGAACACACCAGAUCUUUUACUGCACUGAGAAAAC
rnacentral:lncRNA from 1 species